rnacentral:rRNA from 1 species
CUACGGGCGGCAGCCGUGAGGAAUAUUGCACAAUGGGGGGAACCUUGAUGCAGCAAUGCCGCGUGGAGGAUGACGCAUUUCGGUGUGUAAACUCCUUUUAUAUGUCAAGAAAAUGACGGUGGCAUAUGAAUAAGCACCGGCUAACUCCGUGCCAGCAGCCGCGGUAAUACGGAGGGUGCAAGCGUUACUCGGAAUCACUGGGCGUAAAGGACGCGUAGGCGGGUUGGAAAGUCAGGUGUGAAAUCCUACAGCUUAACUGUAGAACUGCACUUGAAACUUCUAAUCUAGAGUAUGGGAGGGGGAGAUGGAAUUAGUGGUGUAGGGGUAAAAUCCGUAGAUAUCACUAGGAAUACCUAAAGCGAAGGCGAUCUCCUGGAACAUUACUGACGCUAAGGCGUGAAAGCGUGGGGAGCAAACAGGAUUAGAUACCCUCGUAGUC